AUGCAAUAUACAGGGGGUACCGGUAGAGAGUCAAUGUGGAGGCUAUAUACAGGGUAUUACCGUAGAGAGUCAAUGUGGAGGCUAUAUACAGGGUAUUACGGUAGAGAGUCAAUGUGGAGGCUAUAUACAGGGGUACCGGUACAGAGUCAAUGUGGAGACUAUAUACAGGGGGUACCGGUACAGAGUCAAUGUGGAGGCUAUAUACAGGGGGUGCCGNNNNNNNNNNNNNNNNNNNNNNNNNNNNNNNNNNNNNNNUCUUAUUGCUUUACUGCCUGUCGUACUGCCUGCCUUACUACCUUACUGAUUUAUUGCUUUACUGCCUGUCUUACUGCCUGCCUUACUACCUUACUGCCUUAUUGUCCUACUGCCUGUCUUAUUGCUUUACUGCCUGUCUUACUGCCUGCCUUACUACCUUACUGCCUUAUUGUCCUACUGCCUGUCUUAUUGCUUUACUGCCUGUCGUACUGCAUGCCUUACUACCUUACUGCCUUAUCACCUUACUGCCUGCCUUACUGCCUGCCGUACUGCCUGCCUUACUACCUUACUGCCUUAUCACCUUACUGCCUGACUGCCUUGCUGUCUGCAACAACUUUCUGCUCUUUCAAACAGCUCCAACAGCAGUCUCUCUACUUCUCUCUGUACUGUUUCUCCCUCUCUCCUCUCCACCUCCACUCCCUCCCCUCACUGCUUUCCUCCCUCCCUCCUUCCCUCCCUCUCUCUCUCUCUCUCUCUCUCUCUCUUUCUCUCUCUCUCUCUCUCUCUUUCCCCUUUCCUCAGACACUCUCUAGUCACUGCCUGAAGCAGUAAUCGGACAACUGUCGUUCUCACUCUGACUCGGUCUCUUGAGAUCCCAGCUAUAUAGUGUGCUUAUCGGAGCUCCGUGGGGUUUCUAACACUUGAAAUGAAAAGGAAAAAGAUGUGUUGUAGCCGGUAAUUUGUUGCGUCACAGGUUCUACCAACUCUCGAAAGAACUCGUUUUUGAUGAAGUUUCUCCGUUGUCUCUGGACUGGACAGACUUGGCUGUAGAAGAUUAUAACGUACAUUUAAAGGAACGGGACACCAGCCGGAGCACAGGGAUUCCACCGUAGUUGGAGUGAGUAUGACUUCUAAAAGCGGGAUUCAAUUGAAUGCGGUAUCACUGUUUAUCUGGUUAGUCUGAUGCCUGCCUGCCUGCCUGGCAAUGGAACUGCUACAUUAAGAUGUUUUGAAGAAAACAUAACGUACUCUAUCUGCUCUUAAAGUAAUUUAGUAUUACUGGUAUCAUUGUAAACUGUAAUAAUGUAAUUAAUUGAGGCGUUUAAGGCAUUUUGUAAUUAAAUAUCGAUAUAUUGACGUGUAUUAUUUUGCGUUAUAACAGCCUGUUUUGAAGCAGAAUAAUAUCUCUGACAUAAUGUUAGAUCGUUUUAACACCUUGUUUUGAGACAGAAUAAUAUCUCUGACAUAAUGUUAGAUCGUUUUAACACCUUGUUUUGAGACAGAAUAAUAUCUCUGACAUAAUGUUAGAUCGUUUUAACACCUUGUUUUGAGACAGAAUAAUAUCUCUGACAUAAUGUUAGAUCGUUUUAACACCUUGUUUUGAGACAGAAUAAUAUCUCUGACAUAAUGUUAGAUCGUUUUAACACCUUGUUUUGUGGCAGAAUAAUAUAUCUGGCAUAACAGCAGUUAAUAUAUAAUCUCGGGCAAAUGACCACAUGACAUAGUUGUUGUCUUAUUAUUAUUAUUAUUAAUUAUUAUUAAUACACUAUCUCAAAAUAUCAAAAUAACAUAUUUAUUUCAAAAGCAGUGUUUUAUUAAAUGUUAUUUUAGAGCGACAUUAUUAGGACAUAACAUAAAACACUGAAUGUGUCCAUCUUAAAAUAACUGUAGCUCAAUGAUUACAUCAAAAAUAUAAAAACAAGUUUGGAAGCUAAUUGAGUUGGACAAAUGUAAAUUGCAAAAAAAUGUUAUAUUACAUUAAUAUUGAAACACUAGUACUAAUACAUUAUACGUUAAAAUAUAUGAAAAUAUAUGACAAUGUAUAAACUGAAUGUUUGAGAAUUAAAUCAUUUUAGGACUUAAUGGAAUACUCUUAAUAGUGAAUAAAAUGAUUGACUUUUUGGAGAAAAAAAUAUUGCUCUUUAAUUUUAAAUGUGUACGGAAUAUAGUAACAAUUUCACUGAAAUGUUUAUUAAUUAUAUUUAACCCUGACUUGAUUGCAAAUUAAAAUUCAUAUAUUUAUAUAACCGUUGUCUAGUUGUUUUUUCAGUCAUGCACAAAAUCAACUUUCAAUGUUAUUUUGCUCAACAAAGAAAGCCCCCCCCCCCAAAAAACUUUACAAUUUGAAUUCUUCAAACAAAAAACAAAUAAACAAGCAGGUGUAUUAAAACAAAUUAAAUAAAUAGCAAAUGCAAAGCACGCAACAAAAAAAAAAGAUAAGCUAUUUCCGACAUUACCAAGUCGUAUAGGAUAUCCGUGUCCUGAGCUCCCGGUUUAAACAUUUUCGAUGCGCCGAAGCAAAAACAUACCAGGCCCUGCAGGAGUCUCUUCUCCACUGGUAGAAUAAACAACAGCAGCCCAGUUAAAUCAGUUGACAUCUAAUGCCAUC
rnacentral:lncRNA from 13 species